AACGAACGCUGGCGGCAGGCCUAACACAUGCAAGUCGAACGCAUCGCAAGAUGAGUGGCGCACGGGUGAGUAACACGUGGGAAUGUAUCCUUUGGUUCGGAAUAACGUCUGGAAACGGACGCUAAUACCGGAUGAGCCCUUAGGGGGAAAGAUUUAUCGCCGAAGGAGCAGCCCGCGUCUGAUUAGGUGGUUGGUGGGGUAAAGGCCUACCAAGCCGACGAUCAGUAGAUGGUCUGAGAGGAUGAUCAGCCACACUGGGACUGAGACACGGCCCAGACUCCUACGGGAAGCAGCAGUGGGGAAUAUUGGACAAUGGGCGCAAGCCUGAUCCAGCCAUGCCGCGUGAGUGAUGAAGGCCUUCGGGUUGUAAAGCUCUUUCGCACACGACGAUGAUGACGGUAGUGUGAGAAGAAGCCCCGGCUAACUUCGUGCCAGCCGCCGCCGUAAAAC
rnacentral:rRNA from 1 species